rnacentral:tRNA from 1 species
UCCUGGCUAGCUCAAUUGGUAGAGCGGGUGACUGUUAAUCACUAGGUUGGGGGUUCAAGUCCCUCGCCAGGAG